CAGAAAGUAGUUUAAUGAAAAUAUUAAUUUUGGAGAUUAAAGAUGAAUUUAGAAGUUUCUUUCUGA
rnacentral:tRNA from 1 species